ACCUGGCUGGCUCAGUCUGAAAAGCAUGUGACUCUUGAUCUCAGGGUCAUGAGUUUGAGCCCCAUGCUGGGUG
rnacentral:tRNA from 1 species